rnacentral:rRNA from 1 species
AGUUACCUACGGGGGCAGCAGUAGGGAAUCUUCCACAAUGGGCGAAAGCCUGAUGGAGCAACGCCGCGUGGGUGAAGAAGGUCUUCGGAUCGUAAAACCCUGUUGUUAGAGAAGAAAGUGCGUGAGAGUAACUGUUCACGUUUCGACGGUAUCUAACCAGAAAGCCACGGCUAACUACGUGCCAGCAGCCGCGGUAAUACGUAGGUGGCAAGCGUUAUCCGGAUUUAUUGGGCGUAAAGGGGACGCAGGCGGUCUUUUA